AUUGAACGCUGGCGGCAGGCCUAACACAUGCAAGUCGAGCGAGCGGCGGACGGGUGAGUAAUGUCUGGGAAACUGCCUGAUGGAGGGGGGUAACUACUGGAAACGGUAGCUAAUACCGCAUACCCUCAGAUGUGCCCAGAUGGGAGUAGCGAGUAGGUGGGUUAACGGCUCACCUAGGCGACGAUCCCUCGCUGGUCUGAGAGGAUGACCAGCCACACUGGAACGGAGACCCGGCCCAGACUCCUACGGGAGGCAGCAGUGGGGAAUAUUGCACAAUGGGCGCAAGCCUGAUGCAGCCAGGCCGCGGGUAUGAAGAAGGCCUUCGGGUUGUAAAGUACUUUCAGCGGGGAGGCGUUACCCGAAGAAGAAGCACCGGCUAACUCCGUGCCAGCAGCCGCGGUAAUUC
rnacentral:rRNA from 1 species